rnacentral:rRNA from 1 species
CCUACGGGGUGCAGCAGUGAGGAAUAUUGGUCAAUGGACGAGAGUCUGAACCAGCCAAGUAGCGUGAAGGAUGACUGCCCUAUGGGUUGUAAACUUCUUUUAUAUGGGAAUAAAAUGUUCCACGUGUGGGAUUUUGUAUGUACCAUAUGAAUAAGGAUCGGCUAACUCCGUGCCAGCAGCCGCGGUAAUACGGAGGAUCCAAGCGUUAUCCGGAUUUAUUGGGUUUAAAGGGAGCGUAGGUGGAUUGUUAAGUCAGUUGUGAAAGUUUGCGGCUCAACCGUAAAAUUGCAGUUGAAACUGGCAGUCUUGAGUACAGUAGAGGUGGGCGGAAUUCGUGGUGUAGCGGUGAAAUGCUUAGAUAUCACGAAGAACUCCGAUUGCGAAGGCAGUUCACUGGACUGCAACUGACACUGAGGCUCGAAAGUGUGGGUAUCAAACAGGAUUAGAUACCCCAGUAGUC